UCCCGUAGGAAGGUACCCCGGGAACUGGGGAUAAUACCUCAUAGGUUACGGAGGCUGGAAUGCCCUGUAACCCAAAGCUCCGGCGCCUCAGGAUGAGUCUGCGGCCGAUUAGGUUGUUGUUGGGGUAACGGCCCAACAAGCCGAUAAUCGGUACGGGUUGUGGGAGCAAGAGCCCGGAGAUGGAUUCUGAGACAUGAAUCCAGGCCCUACGGGGCGCAGCAGGCGCGAAAACUUUACAAUGCGAGCAAUCGUGAUAAGGGAACCCCGAGUGCCUGUACACGCAGGCUGUUCAGAUGUCUAAAACACAUCUGGAGAAAGGGCCGGGCAAGACCGGUGCCAGCCGCCGCGGUAAUACCGGCGGCUCGAGUGGUGGCCGCUAUUACUGGGCUUAAAGCGUUCGUAGCUGGGCUGUUAAGUCCCCUGGGAAAUCCACCGGCUCAACCGAUGGGCGUUCAGGGGAUACUGGCAGCCUAGGGACCGGGAGAGGUGAGGGGUACUCCAGGGGUAGGAGUGAAAUCCUGUAAUCCUUGGGGGACCACCUGUGGCGAAGGCGUCUCACUAGAACGGCUCCGACAGUGAGGAACGAAAGCUGGGGGAGCAAACCGGAUUAGAUACCCGGGUAGUCCCAGCUGUAAACGAUGCGCGUUAGGUGUAUCGGUGACCACGAGUCACCGAGGUGCCGAAGAGAAAUCGUGAAACGUGCCGCCUGGGAAGUACGGUCGCAAGGCUGAAACUUAAAGGAAUUGGCGGGGGAGCAC
rnacentral:rRNA from 1 species